rnacentral:rRNA from 1 species
CCUACGGGAGGCAGCAGUCGAGAAUCAUUCACAAUGGGGGAAACCCUGAUGGUGCGACGCCGCGUGGGGGAAUGAAGGUCUUCGGAUUGUAAACCCCUGUCAUGUGGGAGCAAAUUAAAAAGAUAGUACCACAAGAGGAAGAGACGGCUAACUCUGUGCCAGCAGCCGCGGUAAUACAGAGGUCUCAAGCGUUGUUCGGAAUCACUGGGCGUAAAGUGUGCGUAGGCUGUUUCGUAAGUCGUGUGUGAAAGGCGCGGGCUCAACCCGCGGACGGCACAUGAUACUGCGAGACUAGAGUAAUGGAGGGGGAACCGGAAUUCUCGGUGUAGCAGUGAAAUGCGUAGAUAUCGAGAGGAACACUCGUGGCGAAGGCGGGUUCCUGGACAUUAACGGACGCUGAGGCACGAAGGCCAGGGGAGCGAAAGGGAUUAGAUACCCCAGUAGUC